rnacentral:rRNA from 1 species
AACUUAAUCAAGUUAAAUAAAUAAUUGUUAGUUACUCGCAAUAUAUAAAAACAUUUAUAAAUUUAGUAAAGGUGAUUAAAAGUUAAUUAGAAACUAUAUAUGAUAUAAGUACUGUGAAGGAAAAACACAAUUGAAUAAUAGAAGAAAUUAAAAUUUGUACCUUUUGUAUCAUGGCUUAGCUAGAUUAAAAUUAUAAAUAUAAUUUCUCGAAAUCUAAUGAGCUAUUUUUAAUUCUUAUUUUAGUAAGGAUAGGGUAAUUGUGGCAAAAAUUUCCAAAAAAUUAAAAAUAGAAAUGAAAUUUUAUUCGAAUUAGAUGAUAGCUAGUUCUUCCAAAAAAGCAUAGAAGUGCUGUUCAUUAAACUUUUCAAGAAAAAUGUUUUUUAAUAGAAUUUAAUGAUAUGAGAUUUUUGAGGAUAAGCUCAGAAAUAAUAUUUAGUAUAUACACUUAAUUUUAUAUUAAAUUUAAGCUUGAAAAUAGCUAUAAUAUUAAGAUUUUGUUAUAAUUUUAUAUUACUUACCAAAAUAUAAUAAAUUUGUAUUUUAAUAUGGAAGAAAAUUCAUUAAUCUUUAAAUGAAUUAUAUUAAUGCUUAGAUGAGUACUACACAUAUUUUAUAAAUAAGUAUAAUUAAUAAAAAUAAUACAUAUAAGUAUAGUUUAAUAACUAAAUUACAUGAAGGAACUCGGCAAACAUAAUAUUCUGCCUGUUUAUCAAAAACAUGGCUCCUUGAAUUUUAAAUAUAAGGAGUCGGACCUGCCCAGUGAAUUAUUUUAAACGGCCGCGGUACUCUGACCGUGCAAAGGUAGCAUAAUCAUUUGCCCUAUAAUUGAGGGCUAGUAUGAAUGGUUUGACAAGAAUAAAACUGUCUCCCUGUAAUUAUAUGGAAUUUUAUCAUUAGGUGAAGAAGCCUAAAUAAAAUCAAAAGACAAGAAGACCCCGUCGAGCUUGAAAGAAAUUAAUAAGUUAAAAAUAUAUAUUCUUAAAAAGUUAUUUGUUAAAAAUUUUGGUUGGGGCGACUAAGGAACAAAUAAAGCUUCUUUUAAAUUUCGUGUCACGCACAGGUAUUGAUCCAAGAAAGUUGAUUAAAGAAAUUAGUUACCGCGGGGAUAACAGCAUUAUCUUUUUUGAGAGCUCAUAUCGAAAAAAAGGUUUGUGACCUCGAUGUUGGACCAGAAUAUCCCAAAGAUGCAGAAGUCUUUAAAGGUUGGUCUGUUCGACCAUUAAAAUUCUACGUGAUCUGAGUUCAGACCGGCGUGAGCCAGGUCAGUUUCUAUCUUUUAUUUUAAAAAUGAGUUCAGUACGAAAGGACCAAUUCAUGACAUUAAGUAAUGUUACUCUUGAAAAUAUAUAAUAUAAAAAUAAAUUAGAUUAAUAAUACCACAG